ACUACGGGUGGCAGCAGUAGGGAAUCUUCCACAAUGGACGAAAGUCUGAUGGAGCAACGCCGCGUGAGUGAAGAAGGGUUUCGGCUCGUAAAGCUCUGUUGGUAGUGAAGAAAGAUAGAGGUAGUAACUGGCCUUUAUUUGACGGUAAUUACUUAGAAAGUCACGGCUAACUACGUGACAGCAGCCGCGGUCAUACGUAGGUGGCAAGCGUUGUCCGGAUUUAUUGGGCGUAAAGCGAGUGCAGGCGGUUCAAUAAGUCUGAUGUGAAAGCCUUCGGCUCAACCGGUGAAUUGCAUCAGAAACUGGUGAACUUGAGUGCAGAAGAGGAGAGUGGAACUCCAUGUGUAGCGGUGGAAUGCGUAGAGAUAUGGAAGAACACCAGUGGCGAAGGCGGCUCUCUGGUCUGCAACUGACGCUGAGGCUCGAAAGCAUGGGUAGCGAACAGGAUUAGAUACCCGAGUAGUC
rnacentral:rRNA from 1 species